rnacentral:lncRNA from 1 species
GGUGUAACCACACAAUGGAAUGUUAUUUGGCCAUAAAAAGAAAUGAAGUAGUGAUACAUGCUACAACUUGUUGCCACACACUAGAGGGAGAGAGGAUUGGGGAGUAACUACUAAUGGGUACAGGGUUUCUUUUUGGGAUGAUUAAAAUAUGCUAGAAUUAGUAGUGAUAAUGGUUGCACAGUUCUGUAAAUAUACUAAAACUGCUUAAUUGCAUGUUCUAAAACAGUGAAUUUGUGGUAUGAUUCUGUUUUCCCAGCUUUCUUGAGGUAUGAUUGACAAAAUUGUGUAAAUUUAUGGUGUGCAACAUGCUGAUUUGAUAUACAUAUACAUUGUGAAAUGAGUGCCACAAUCGUGUUAGUUAACACAUCUGUCACCUCACCCACUUACAUUUGUGUGUGUGUGUGUGCUAAAAACAUUUAAGAUCUUUACCAGACCCAAAAGUUUUUAAUUACAUGCAAAUUAAGAGGUUUGUUAUUCAGAAUGCUCUAGAAAAGAACAAAUGCCGAGUUGUUGCCAUGGAAAGGGGUGGUAACUUGCAGCUCGUUGCCAUGGCAUUUGUAAACUGUCACGGCACUGGUGGGAGUGUCUUAUGCUAAUGAGCAGCAAGGGUAAAUAGAGGUUGCCUUUGGCACCAUCUGCUGGCUUCUUUACUUCAUCCUGGGACCAGGAAAAAUGGGAACUUCUCUUUUGCUCCCCACAAAACAACCAGAGCGUGGAACAUAUGAAGUAAAGAAUAAUAUUUAUUGAAUGAAGACAUGAAUUUAACCCUGCAGGCCUAGGUGGGAGCUUCCAGUGCCUCUUGUCAUCAUUCUGGUAUGUCCAGGAAGUGGGAGGUGGCACCAAUGUGUAGCCACCCUGCCUGAGCCCACCAGCCUUGGAGUCAGAACACCCUGGGGUAAAUCCUGGCUCAGCUCUUCUCAGCUAUGUGAUCUCGGGGCUAGACCUUCCAGUAUCGUGUAGAAUAACAGCGGUGAGGCAGAACAUCCUUGUUUCCGUCUUAGGAGGAAAGCGCCAUUAGGAAAGCAUCAUAAGAGGAAAGCAGUCUUUCACCAUUACGUAUAUUAGCUGUGGAUUUUUUUGUUUUGUAUAAUUGUUUUACAUGUUCUUUAUCAAGUUGAAAUAAUUUUGCACUAUUUAUGACUUGCUGGGAGACUUAAUGAGUUUUGGAUUUUGUCAAAUGCUUUCUUUUUGCAUCAAUUCAUAUGAUUAUAUGCUUUUCUUUCCUUGGCUUGUUGAUAUGGUGGAUUGAUUGAUUUUUGAAUGUUGAACUACCAUAGCUGUAAUAAAUCUAACUUGAUAAUGGUGAAUAAUUAUUUUUAUGCAUUGUUGGAUUUGGCUUGCUUAUAUUUUGUCAAGGAUUUUUGCAUCAGAAUUAAUAAGAGAUACUGGUCUGUAAUUUUCUUUCUUUUUAUUUCGUCUCAUAAUAUUGGCCUCAUGAAAUGAAUUGAGAAGUGUUUCCUCUGCUUCUAUUUUUUGGAGGAGAUUGUGUAAAAUUGGUGUUGUGUUUUUCAAAUGUUUGGUAGAAUUAUCCAGCUUGGAGCAUUUUAAUUAUGAAUUCAGUUAUUUUAAUGAAUUUUUUUUUUUUUUGAGACAGAGUCUCGCUUUGUCACCCAGGCUGGAGUGU